rfam:Galerina marginata CBS 339.88 GALMAscaffold_11_Cont364, whole genome shotgun sequence.
GGCGCUAUAGCCAAGUGGUCUACGGCGAUAGAUUAGAAAUCUAUUCCUCUUUGAGGGCGCAAGUUCGAAUCUUGCUGGCGUCG